rnacentral:rRNA from 1 species
UACGUAGGGGGCAAGCGUUGUCCGGAUUUAUUGGGCGUAAAGAGCGUGUAGGCGGCCAGACAGGUCAGCUGUGAAAACUCGAGGCUCAACCUCGAGACGUCGGUUGAAACCGUCUGGCUAGAGUCCGGAAGAGGAGAGUGGAAUUCCCGGUGUAGCGGUGAAAUGCGCAGAUAUCGGGAAGAACACCCGUGGCGAAGGCGGCUCUCUGGGACGGUACUGACGCUGAGACGCGAAAAGCGUGGGGGAGCGA